rnacentral:rRNA from 1 species
UACGAAGGGGGCUAGCGUUGCUCGGAAUCACUGGGCGUAAAGCGCACGUAGGCGGGUCUUUAAGUCAGGGGUGAAAUCCUGGAGCUCAACUCCAGAACUGCCUUUGAUACUGAGGAUCUCGAGUCCGGGAGAGGUGAGUGGAACUCCGAGUGUAGAGGUGAAAUUCGUAGAUAUUCGGAAGAACACCAGUGGCGAAGGCGGCUCACUGGACCGGUACUGACGCUGAUGUGCGAAAGCGUGGGGAGCAAACAGG